rnacentral:rRNA from 1 species
GAUGAACGCUGGCGGCGUGCUUAAUACAUGCAAGUCGAACGAAGAAGCCCAGCUUGCUGUGUGGAUUCGUUGGGAACGGGUGGGUAACUAACGAGUAACCUGCCCUUCACUCUGGGUUAGGUCAGGUAGAGUAGGUCUAAUACCUAAUAGGAGCGUUCAUCGAAUGGUGGGUGUUGGAAAGAUAUAUCGGUUUUGGAUGGACUCGCGGCCUAUCCGCUUGUUGGUGAGGUAAUGGCUCACCAAGGCGACGACGGGUAGCCGGCCUGAGAGGGUGACCGGCCACACUGGGACUGAGACACGGCCCAGACUGCUACGGGAGGCAGCAGUGGGGAAUAUUGCACAAUGGGCGCAAGCCUGAUGCAGCGACGCCGCGUGAGGGAUGACGGCCUUCGGGUUGUAAACCUCUUUCAGUAGGGAAGAAGCGAAAGUGACGGUACCUGCAGAAGAAGCACCGGCUAACUACGUG